AUGGGUAAGUUGCUAGCCUUGAAGCAACUAUAUGGUGAUUGGGAUAUCAGCUUUGACAAUUUGUAUAGGUUUAAGGCACAAGUUGAUAGUUGUUGCCUCAGUAGCAUAGUCCAGAUUGAUCAUCACACAAUAAAUGGUAAAAUCAGGUUUAGAAGAAUUUUUGUUGCUAUGAAACCUUGCAUAGAGGGGUUCCUUAGUGGCUGCAGACCAUAUUUGGCAAUAGAUAGCACAUUCUUGACGGGCAGGUUCAAGGGGCAGCUGGCUAGUGCUACCGCCGUUGAUGGCCAUAAUUGGAUGUAUCCGGUUAGUUUUGGAGUCUUUGAUUCUGAAACUAACGAGAAUUGGAUUUGGUUCAUGCAAUUGCUAAGACAGGCCAUAGGAUCACCAAAUGGGUUGGCCAUAUGCACCGAUGCUGGUCAAGCAGUAAUGACAGGGGUGAAAGAGUGUUCCCAGAGGCAGAACAUAGGGAAUGCAUGUUUCACUUGGUGA
rnacentral:rRNA from 1 species